UACGUAGGGUGCAAGCGUUGUCCGGAAUUAUUGGGCGUAAAGAACUCGUAGGCGGUUUGUCGCGUCGGCUGUGAAAACUCGGGGCUCAACCCCGAGCCUGCAGUCGAUACGGGCAGACUAGAGUGCUGUAGGGGAGACUGGAAUUCCUGGUGUAGCGGUGAAAUGCGCAGAUAUCAGGAGGAACACCGGUGGCGAAGGCGGGUCUCUGGGCAGUAACUGACGCUGAGGAGCGAAAGCGUGGGGAGCGAACAGG
rnacentral:rRNA from 1 species